CUGCGAUCCUUUCAGCAUGCUUCGUCUUCACUCAUCAAUUAGGAGGUCACCCAAUCGAAGAUUGGCCCAGACUUCGCCUUAUUGUCACUGCUCCUUCGUCGCUCGAUCACCAGUUCUUCUCCGUUCGGUCGCUGGUCCUUCGCCAUUUCGUCACUGCUUCUUCGCCGUGUCAUUGCCGUUCCGUGUGGGUCUCGCGACAGAUUUCAAUUAAGGACUUGAGUUUGAAGAAGAGGAGGAAAAGAUCAAAUAAAGAAGCAAAAGCGAGCCAAAUUCCAGUGCGUUGGGCGCCUAGAUGCAGAAAAUUGACAAAAUGGUAGAAUGUUGGGUUCCUAGGCGCUACAAAGUUGGAAGCGAAGUUUUUGUUGGCAUGCGUUUGGGCGCCUAGGCGCUCGUGACAAAAUUUUGUUAAAUAUCUCAUUUUAGCCCUAGCCGUGAAUGACAAAAAUAGAGGGGAAGAGACAUUUUUAAAUAGAAAAGUGGGGACUUUGAGAAGAUUGGAAGGAACGGAGGCUCGAGAGAUCACGGAUUUGUUUUCUUUCUCUUCUUCUUUCUCUCCUUUAGCUUCAAGUUCUUUCAAUGAUGUUGAUUGAUAUUUUCUUUUUGGAUUCAAGCAUGAACUAAAUAUAUUUUCUAGGGCAUUGAUGUAGCCUUUAUCAAA